AAAUUACUCUUUCCUUGAGUGGGAAUAAGAUUUUGGCUUUUCAUUUAAUAUUAUUACAAAUCCAAACCAAACAAGGACAGGUGGCAAAGUAAGAUGGAUUUUAUAUCCUACCGAUGUGUACUUAUCACUCCUCCCAUGCCUCGCAUUGCCGUCUAUAAAAGUUUGUCCCUUCUCAAGCACAGCGCGUCUGUUAAUUCAAUCAUCAAUUACCUUUUGGAUCCAUAGAUUUUUCUAGGGUUUUUAAAUUCACUGUUUAACCUCUAAACCCCACAUAACAGAAUUUCAAAUUUUUAAAAAAUAUUCUAUUUACGAACAAGCCCCUUGCAUUGGGGUUUAUUUCUCGGCGAGCCAAUCGGAUUUUAUUGUAGCGGUUGUUUGCUCAAUUUCUGCUUCUUCAAUGCUGGAAAUCUUCCGGAAGCGCUAGAGUUGAACGCAAACUCGAAGAAUCAUUACUGAUAAAAUACGAGUAGUCGGUGAUUGAUGCGAACUUUUGGGAAUAUUUGGAAUACAAUGUGGAGUCUGGCUACAAUAGUAGGAGCAGAUAAGUGAUAUGAGGAGUUGAAUAUGAGCGAUGGAGGUGGGGAGAGUGGAAGUAAGCAUGAACAACUACGCACAAAGAGAAAAUUUGGUGGCGAUGACUUUGCCCAAGCAAUUGCCAAGAUUGCUGUAGCACAGGUAUGCGAGAGAGUGGGUUUUCAGACUUUUCAACAGUCUGCUCUUGGAACAUUGUCUGAAAUUGCUGUGCGAUAUGUGCAUAAUAUUGGAGAGGCUGCCCAUUUCUAUGCAAAUUUAGCUGGUAGAACUGAGGUUAAUGCUUUUGAUAUCUUUCAAGGAUUAGAAGAGUUGGGAUCAACACAAGGGUUUUCAGGUGCUUCUGAUAUUGAUCACUGUCUUACUAGUUCAGGUGUAGUUCGGGAGCUUAUUCAGUAUGUUAAUGAAGUUCAGGACAUCCCAUUGGUGUAUUCUAUACCACGUUUCCCAGUUGUUAAAGAUCGAAAACCAACAUCCAGUUUCUUGCAAAUUGGAGAGGAGCCUCCUGAUGAACACAUUCCACCUUGGCUGCCUGCUUUCCCUGAUCCCCAAACUUAUCUUCAAUUGCCCACUCAGAAUGAGAAGGAAACUGAUUCUGAAACUGAGAAGAUUGAGCUGGGAAGGCAGCAGAGAAAGAUGGAAAUGUCUAUGUUGAAUUUGCAGCAGCAAUUUUCCGGCAAUGGACCACAAGGACCUUCCUUAUUUGCCCAUAGAGACAAUUCUAAGGAUAAACAGGCAGCAGAAAGUAAUCCAUUUCUUUCUGCUCUCCUGCAUUUUGAGGAGAAGGAAGUAGGUUCUGUGCCUAUUCCUGCUAAGCUUUCAAAGGAAGUAGCUUCCGAAAAUCCUGUUGCAGAAAACCGUGGGGUGUUUAAUCACAUUUCAGUGCUGCAGACAUUUUCACCAGCUAUUGAAGCAAUGAAGAAUAAGUUGUGUAAUUCCGAGGAGGAACAGGAAAAGCUUCUUAUGAACCAGAGGCCUGCUGUGCAAUUUAAGAUUGGACUUGGAAAGAAGUCAUUGGGUAAACCACUUAAAUUGGGUCCACAGCACAGGGAUGCUGAGAUGAUUUCUGCUUGGUUUUGCAAGGAUGAUGAGAAGGAUGAGAAGAAAAGGCGAGCUGGAAAAAUACUGAAGGACUCUAUGGAAAACACUCAGGAAUUAGCUCAGUUGUAAAAUAGUUUAUUUUUAUUAGAGUUUGUAUACUUAUCUAGGAAACUUGGAUUCAGCUUACUUAAAGACAAGGACAUAUGAUUUUCUGCAUAUGAACCUUUUAGAAUGGAUUUACAAACUGCUAGAGGGAAAUGCAAUUACUCUAACAAGUUAUUGAGCUACUUGUCUCAGCUCAGCCAGGGAGAAAAGGUUAAGAAAUGGAAAAACAAAGUUAUGCAUGAAAUCUUCAUAUGUCGGUGAUCGGUCAAUGAGAUUCUGUUAGGGCUCAGGUAUACGUGAGGAAGAAGGAUAGGAAGAAAGUAGGAGGGACAAAUGGAGAUGACUCAAGAGGGAUAAUGAAGAUGUACCAGGUUAAGAGUAACAUAGCUGAUAAGGGUCAUUCUAAAGUUAUGCAAUUGGUAGGAGGGUGUUCAGAGUUGCACGCACCGAUUCCACAUCAAAUCAAGGGGAGAGCAGCAUCCUUCCAACAGAAGGUGGGGUCCACCAUUACACUCAAGUCUGACAUGGCAGCUCAGGGGAGAGGCAGCAAGGAAGAGUGGGAGAAGGCUGUUAUAAUGGAAGAGAAGGGGCCAAGAAAAGGGAGGGAAAAUCAGUUAGAAAAAAAUGAGGGACCAGCCUUGGGAAAGCUGGUAGGGUCUUUGUAGCGUUUUGGCAUCACUGAGAAUUGGGGUUCAUAGAUGAGUGGGAUGUUGCUCAUCAAUUUAGUAAUGCAAUAGAGGAGUUUGUAAUAAUUGAAUUGAAAUUGUUGAACAAUAUUCAAUAAAAAUUUCUGUUUCAAUUGUGUCUCA